UCCAACAAACUUAUAAGUUAACUUAUUGACAUUACCAAAUAGUGUCUUUAUACAAAAUAAGUAUUUCACUCAUUCACCACUCUAUCACCCACUAGCUCACAGCUUCGCGUAUAUCUUAUUCUCGUUGAACAAAGUUAAGUUUCUUUAAUUUCUUGACAAAAUAACUCAAAAAAAGAUAAUGUUAUUCAUUUUACGAGAAAUCGAUUAAGGUAUGUAUGGUCAUAUUUAUUGUUAUUUCUUUAUAUUCUAAUUAAAGUUAAAUUCAUUUUUAUGCCAAAUUAUAAAUAUAAAUGAACUGCAUUGUUUUUACGAUUACUAUUUAUACAUAUAUGAGAAUUAUUAAAUAUUUAGAUAACUUAAAUUUAUGUCUGUAUUGUAAUAAAAAAAAUAAAUAAUAUAACAAAAGAUAAUAAAUAAAUUACAUGGAUAUAGUUUUAAUUUCAAAGUUUUGCUGUAUUUUUUUAUUUCUCAAUAAAAAUAAAAUAAAGUGAAAAAUUGAUUUUAAAAAAGGAAAAUAAAGUAAAACAACGCUCAAGAAAAAUUGAAUACAAAUAUCAUAUUUUUUGUUAUUUUAAAUUAAAUAAUUAUAUAUUUUUAUAUUAUUAAAAAUUAAUUGUAUUAAAUAAUUUAAUUUAGAUUAACUAACCUUUCAACUAUAAAUUAUCAAUUAUUAACUACCAAGUAACUUUUCAACUGUGAACUAAUUUAUAGUCUAGGGAAUGGAGUCAAAGUUGAUUAUUUACUACUUGUUGAUGUGUCAAAAUAACACACCUGGUUGGAUAUAAAGAAUAUAGGUGAGAAGGUGUAAGUAGUGUGAGAAAAUCAAAUGGCAACAGUCUCUUGUAAGAACGACCCCGAAAUUCAAAUUUAUUGGUGUUAAAUUAAGAUCUCUCUUACAAAUUACUACCCGCGUCCCUGAAUCUCUGAUUCCUUUCUAGUAAUAGUACUACUAUACCAUCAUCAAUCUUUCAAACUUUCAUCCAUACCUCCACGGUAUCUACACCAUCGUCGACGACGACACUUACUGGUACGCUUUUAUUUCACACAACGAGCCAAGGUCGUGACGCCGAUCUCUGAUCUAUAUACAAUAUUGUCUGAUUUAUGAUUUUUCAAUUGAAAAAUACAUUAGACUUACAAUUUAAUUUUCAAAAGCAUUAGAGUUACGAGAUCCCAAGAAAUGUGUCUUACAUUAUGUCUAUUCAGAACUCACGCUUAAAUUCUUAAUACUUGAAGCUUGCUUAUCGCUUGAAAAACUCAAUCUCGCUGUACUGUUUACCCGAUGAUUUUAUCCUAGCUAUGUGAAUUGUGCAGAAUAUACAAUUAAAUUAUAUACUACAACAUGGUUUUUCUUGUUCAUUAUUAUAAUGUGUUUUAAAUUGGGAGUUUUGUCUUGUUUACAUGUAAUUUUGGUUUAGAAAGCUCAGUUAUUAUAAGAUAAAAGAAAAUUUAUUUUAAUUUAAUAAAUUACUCAGAAAACAAAAUUUAUGCUGAGACGGGACGUGAAUUGCAAGGUCAAGGUGUCUCAAGCAUUGUUUGGCUAUGAUUUCUUUAUCUUUAAAUUGAACAGCAUAGCUAUGUUUGCUUCACCUUAGUCUUUCGCCGUUGCCCUUCAUCCACUCUUAUUCAAAGCACAUAGUAGGCUCCAAAACUCCCCUAAGUAAUGUCUUGCUCACAGCCGCAGGGGAAGUCCUUAACAGAUUCAGCCCCCCACCCCCCAUAAGAAACCUUAUUCUUAAUUUCACUGAAUGGCCAUGUUUUGUGUUUAUUAGUACCUCUAUGUAUUACAUAUGCUUAUGUUGAUUUGCGCAAAUUGGAAAAAUAUGAGGAAUGGAAAUUGCAUUUGACUAACUCAGAUUGAUGGACUUUGCCACAAGAUGGCUGUUUUGCAGUAAAGGGGGAAAAAUUAUGAAAAGAAAAUGCCAGGAGUCAGAAAAUUCAAAUAGAGGCCAAGUUAGCUACCCCAAAGUUUGUUUAUUCUCUGUAUAUUUUAUUCUUUAUCUAUCUCUGGAUACUUGCUCAGAUGUUGAGAAUGAAAUGAUUGGUUCUUGUUAGUUUUUCUUUAGAUUGUGCUUGGAAAGUACUACUUUGCUGAUGUUAUAUAUGUUGUAUGUGUGGUAGGUACUCAUAGAGAGAGACGCCAUGGUGUCUUCCACUGGGGUUGCUACUGCACAACCUCUUUUUUCUUUUGGAUUGAUUUCUGACGUCCAAUACGCUGACAUUCCCGAUGGUCGCUCAUUCCUUGGUGUUCCACGGUAUUAUCGGCAUAGUAUUCUUGUUCUGCAGAGAGCAGUUAAAGAAUGGAAUACUCAUCAGAAGCAUAAGUUUGUGAUUAAUUUAGGAGAUAUUGUUGAUGGGUUUUGUCCCAAAGAUCAAUCUAUUAAUGCUGUAAAGAAGGUUGUGGAUGAAUUUGAAAUGUUUAGAGGACCUGUGUACCAUAUGAUUGGCAAUCACUGUCUGUACAAUCUUCCUCGAAGCAAGUUACUUCCAUUAUUGAAGAUUCAAACCCUUGAUGGUCAUGCUUACUAUGAUUUCUCACCGGUGCCUGACUAUAGAUUUGUAGUUCUCGAUACCUAUGACAUCAGUGCCAUUGGUUGGCCUCAAGAUCAUCCAAGAGCAUUGGAAGCCAUGCAAUUGCUUAGAGAGAAGAACCCAAAUGAAGAUAAGAACAGUCCAACAAAUUUGGUAGGGGUUGAAAGAAGGUUUCUUAUGUUUAAUGGAGGCGUUGGAAAGGAACAGAUGGAAUGGUUGGAUGGUGUUCUUCAGGAUGCAACCAAAUUGAAACAGAAGGUGGUUGUGUCUAGCCAUCUGCCUCUAGAUCCUUGUGCAGCAACCGAGGAGGCACUAUUGUGGAAUUAUGAUGAAGUGAUGAAUUUGAUACACAAAUACAAUUGUGUUAAGGUCUGUCUUGCUGGACAUGAUCAUAAAGGUGGAUACUCCAUUGAUUCUCAUGGUGUACACCAUAGAGUUCUUGAAGCUGCUCUUGAAUGUCCUCCCGGCACAGAUGCAUUUGGAAGCGUUUAUGUCUAUGAUGACAGAAUAUCACUUGUAGGAAUUGACAGAAUGGCGAGUACAGACAUGUAUUUUAGUCACCAAUAAUUUCAAUUUGUAUGACAUAAAGUGUUGAUGUUUGGAAGACAUUAUUUAAUCAAUAAUUUAUAGAGUACCUAUGAUCUCUAUACAGCAUACUACUCAAAUUUGAACGGCAACAUGCUCCUUCCUUUUGAGAGAGGCAAGAAUGCAACGUGCAGCAUUAUUGGGGUUAGUUACCUAUGUGCUUGGCUAAUUAGUCUUGUAAAACUGUUGCAAUUUGGCUUAAUUGCUUUGCAUAUUUUCACUGAAAACCUUAUAUUGAUCAUGUAACUGUUGUUUACAUAUUCUAGUCACUCAAUCUAAUACAUAUUAGGGGAAUUACAAUCCUUUAAUCUUAUUUGAGAUAAUAAACAUAUUAUGUUGAGGUGCCGAACCACGUAAAUCUUUAUGUGAGUUAUUUUAUUAGAUCAAUAGUUUUUUGAGGUUUCAUGGCCUCAAUAAAUAUAUAGCACCAUAAGUGAAUUAAUAGCAUAUUUUCCACAAAAUUUCAUUGUUGAAAAACCAAACAUAAAUGUGAAGAGUGUUGUCAAGAGCGACAACGAUGAUGAUAGAGGUCGAAGGUGUUUGAUUGCAUAUACAGUGAUGGUAAUUGUUGAAUAAGAGAAAAUGAGAGAGACAUAUGGUGAAACCGUGUGUCUGAACUACACAACGGAGUCUGUUUUAUAUAGGCUCAAGGCAAUAAAUACAAAAAUAAAUAUGGGAGAUAUUAUCCCUACUUACAUGAUAUGUAAUAAAUAUAAAUAUAUUUUCAACACUCCCCCUCAAGCUGGAGCAUAUAAAUCAUAUGCACCAAGCUUGUUACAUAUAUAACUGAUUCGAGGACCUCUCAGAGACUUAGUGAAUACAUCUGCCAAUUGAUCAUUGGAAUUAACAAAACUAGUGGUGAUGUCGCCUGAUUCGAUCUUCUCCCUUACAAAGUGACAAUCUAUCUCAAUAUGCUUGGUCCUCUCAUGAAAAACUGGAUUAGAGGCAAUGUGCAAUGCUGCUUGAUUAUCACAUAUUAAUGUCAUUUGUGUUGCCUCUUCAAAUUGAAGCUCUUUGAGUAACUGUUUCAACCAAAUGAGCUCACAAGUCACUAAUGCCAUAGCCCUGUAUUCAGCUUCAGCGCUAGAUCUUGCAACUACACUUUGUUUCUUACUCUUCCAAGAUAUUAAGUUUCCUCCAACAAGUACACAAUACCCAGAAGUGGAUCGCCUAUCAAUGGGUGAGCCUGCCCAAUCGGCAUCUGAAUAACCAACUAUCUGAGUAUGUCCUCUGUUUUCAUAAAUUAGACCUUUUCCUGGAGCACCUUUAAUGUAUUUCAAGAUUCGUAUCACAAUAUCCCAGUGUUCUUGACAAGGAGAAUUUAAGAAUUGACUUACCACACUGACUGCAAAAGAAAUGUCUGGACGGGUGACUGUGAGGUAGUUUAAUUUACCAACCAAUCUUCUGUAUCUCCCUGAAUCUAAAAAUGGCUCCCCAUGAUUAGGUAGAAGUUUGACGUUUGGAUCCAUAGGAGUGUCAACCGGUUUGGCAUUCAACAAACCUGUCUCUUCAAGAAUAUCCAUAGCAUAUUUUCUUUGUGAAAUUACUAAGCCGUCCUUAGAUUGGGCUACCUCAAUACCCAAGAAGUAGCGGAGCUUGCCAAGAUCUUUAGUUUGAAACUGAUGAGAUAAAUGUUGUUUCAAUUGGAGUAUGCCCUGUUGAUCACUACCAGUUAUGACAAUAUCAUCUACAUAGACAAUCAAGUAAAUGCACCCUUGGGUUGAGUGACGAUAAAAAAGAGAAUGAUCAGCUUCACUUCGAAUCAUGCCAAAUUGUUGCACUACUGUGCUAAAUCUACCAAACCAAGCUCGAGGAGACUGUUUAAGACCAUAGAGAGACCUCUGAAGUCGACAAACCAUGGUAGAGGACUCCCCCUGAGCAACAAACCCAGGUGGUUGCUCCAUAUACACUUCUUCUUCAAGGUCACCAUGCAAAAAAGCAUUUUUAAUGUCAAGUUGAUGUAGAGACCAAUGUCUGAUGGCUGCAAUAGAGAGGAGUAGUCUAACAGAGGCCAUCUUAGCCACAGGGGAGAAAGUAUCACUGUAAUCGAGGCCAAAAACUUGAGUGUACCCUUUUGCUACCAAACGAGCUUUAAAACGAUCAAUCUUACCAUCAGGACCAACUUUCACCGUAUAAAGCCAACGACAUCCUACUAAAGACUUUCCCGACGGUAAAGGAACCAAUUCCCAUGUACCACUACUCUGAAGUGCACACAUCUCGUCAAUCAUUGCUUGUCUCCACUCUGGGUGAGAUAAAGCUUCACCUGGAGAUUUAGGAAUAGAAACAGAAGACAGGGAAGACAAACAAGUAUAAUGCAAAGGAGAAAGACGAUGGUAACUCAAGCCAAUGUAAUGAGGGGAUGGGUUACGAGUAGGACGUAUACCUUUACGAAUAGCAAUAGGAAUAUCAAGGGUCGGAUCCGAUAAAGAAGGAGGUGGCGGUGAAGGAGCGUCUGGAGUGACCUCGGUAUCAAGAACAGGUGUAGGGACAUGUACAACCGAUGGUGGUUGACGACGACGAUAUGUCUGAAGAGGUUGUACAGUUGGAGGAUCAACAAGAGGAGUCUCAAGUGGGACAGUGGGAGGGGCCACAGGAGGUGUCUCAGGUGGGGCAUACGUAAUAGGCUCUAAUGGUAAAAGAGAAGGUGAAAUAGACUUUGGUAGGUCCAGAGGAAUAGUUGCAGACAAAGGAUCAGGAAGCGACUCAUAGUAUGUAACAGACUCAAAAAAUGUGACAUCAGCCGAUAUGAGAUAUCGUCGAAGAGUAGGAGAAUAACAACGAUAACCUUUUUGGGACCGAUGAUAACCCAGAAAGACACAUUUUAAUGAUCGAGCUGAAAGUUUGUCAAGACCAGGAGUGAGAUUGUGGACAAAACAUGUAGAUCCGAAGACCCGAGGAGGAAGUGAGUGAAGAGGGGUACCAGGAAAGAGGAUCGAGUGAGGGACUUUGUUAUCAAGAGCAGACGAAGGCAUGCGAUUUAUAAGAUAGCACGCCGUUAGAACAGCAUCGCCCCAAAAGCGAGAUGGUACAUUACCAUGAAGAAGGAGAGUACGAGUGGUUUCAAUAAGGUGCCGAUUUUUGCGUUCGGCUACCCCAUUUUGUUGAGGUGUAUGAGCACAAGAUGUUUGAUGAAGAAUGCCGUUAGAGGUCAUAAAAUUUUGAAAUUGAUGGGACAAAUAUUCACGGGCAUUAUCACUGCGCAAAGUGCGAAUGGAUACACCAAAUUGAGUUUUAAUUUCCUUAUAAAAUUGUUCAAAAAUAGAAAAUAAUUCAGACCUAUUUUUCAUUAAAAAUAACCACGUACAACGGGAAAAAUCAUCGAUAAAGGUAACAAAAUAUCUAGACUCAAGUGUGGAAAUAGUACGAGAGGGACCCCAAACAUCUGAGUGAACUAAAGCAAAUGGGGAGGAAGCUCGUUUAUUAGCUCGAUCAGUGAAAUGACUACGAGUGUGUUUCCCUAAUUGACACGACUCACAAUUUAAGCUAGAUAUUUUGGUUAGAUUAGGUACUAAUUGUUGAAGUUUGGGAAGACUCGGAUGACCUAACUGAGCAUGUAUAGUAAGAGGAGAAUAUGUGGUAGGGCACGCUGUUGAUGGGUUUGAGAGAUAAUAAAGACCAUUAGACUCACAUCCGACACCAAUUUGUCGUCCUGAUAUUCGGUCUUGCAAAGUAACAUUGCAAUUAGUAAAUGUGACAACACAGUCAUGAGAACGAGUCAAUCGACUGAUAGAAAUUAAAUUAAAUGGGCAUCCAGGCACAUAAAGGACAGAUUUAACUAACAGAGUAGGGAGGAUUUGGACAGUGCCAAUCCCUUGAGACUGUGUUUGGGAACCAUUGGCUGAGACUAUCCUAGGUAAAUAACCAGAUGUUGUGAGAGAGGAGAAAAGAGUCUUAUUACCAGUAAUGUGAUCAGAUGCACCAGAAUCGAGAAUCCAUGGGCUAUGAGAAGGUGAGAUGCAAACAGGUGAAUUACCACUUUGUGCGGCGGAAACAGCGGAACUCGAGUUCUGACAAUACUCUCUCCACCGAAGAAAAUCUUUAUAAGUAGCCAUAAUCAAUAAGUAGUUACCUAAAAACCAGCAGCGAAACAAUGGCGGAAUAUGGUUUUUUUUUUCGAUGAACAGUACCGCGCGAUGAACAGUGUCGCUCAAUGAACAGUGUCGCGCGAUGAACAGUGAACAGUGGAGAAAAAAAUGAACGAAAAAGCGACAAAGAAGGGUAAACCGGAAUUGAGACACGGUUUACCGAAAAAAAAUCUCACCGAAGGACAGUGGGUCCCGGGGUAAUCACGGUAUAGGGUUGUCUCUCUUAAUAGGCUCUAGAUACCAUGUUGAAUAAGAGAAAAUGAGAGAGACAUAUGGUGAAACCGUGUGUCUGAACUACACAACGGAGUCUGUUUUAUAUAGGCUCAAGGCAAUAAAUACAAAAAUAAAUAUGGGAGAUAUUAUCCCUACUUACAUGAUAUGUAAUAAAUAUAAAUAUAUUUUCAACAGUAAUGAUAGAGUGCAACCAUUUCUAAUAAUACUGGAUAAUUCUCUUAAUCAUACCAUGUUAUCUAUUUGGGGAAGACAAUCUUUAUAGUUUUUUUUUCUCGAUUUGAUUGUUGUUUUCAAUUAUCAGAUCAUCACUUAACUACCAAUCUACCAUCAACGUUGACAGUAACAAAAAGACCGCAUUGGUAUAAUAUUUGAAAUUGUAAUUUGUAAUAUGAGAAAUCAUUUGGUGACAAAUAAUACAUGAGAGAUCAGACUAUAACCCAAAAUAAAGAUAAGAACCAAAAUUAUAACUAACCUAUAAAAUAUUUCUUUAUCACACUCAUGCUUAGCACAAGUAUUUCAACUAGAAAAUUUAUAUUUUUACUCAUGUUUAGCGCAUGUACAUCAACUAGUAAAUUUAUAAUACUAUUAUGACAUAAAAAGAAUUAAACUCAAUGAAAGUGUGCAGCAAACAAUAUUUUACCAGAUCAUAACAGUAGUAUAUUCAUAAACUAAUUAACUAAAAGAGAACGAUGGGAAUAAAAGACUUUUGUAUUUUUGCUUUGGUGUUCCUGAUGUCUAUAUCAUUACUGGUCACCACCAAACACUAGUCCUCACUUUCCGGGACACCAACUCUCAUUCACAUGCAUGAGUCUUUAUGUGGCCAAAUACAGACAUUCAGUUCAGUAAUCUAAUGUUUAUAUAUAAUUUCUGUUAUAUAGUCAUAUGUAUACACUAUUGUAUUAUAAAAUAUAAUUAGAUAACGUACACAUACACCUCUGGUUGAUAUAAUAUAACUCAGUUUUCAAGACUAGAUCAAGAAAAAGUAAAAGAGUAGUAUUUUCCAACGGAGUAGAUGACAGAUGUAGAUAGAUAUGGACACAGAUGCCUCUGGACAGAGAAUUAUUGUUGGGCACGUGCUUUGUGACAAUCUCUUCCCUCCAUUAUGUACAUUUGUUUCUACAACCCCAGCUUUUUUGGCCCCACAAGCCUUUAUCAGUUACUUAAACACAUAACUGUGUGGUUGGAUUGAAAGUGACUGCAGAAUCACAUUGUGAUAUUAUAAUUUUAGCAAAAACUAUACUUCAAAGCUUUAACAAAUUCAUACUGUCAAAUGUCAAUUAUCAUAAGUUUACUAAAUUCACUGUUAUCUAAUCGUGCAUAAAAGUAUAUAUUUUUUUAAUUAUAUGGUUAUCAAAACAACACCUUUAGGCUGAGACAUAUCAUGAAUGAUACAUACUUUUCAUUCAACCUUCCAAGCAUAUAAAAACAAGCAAAACUCUGAUGAUGACUCACUGACACAAUGACCCUCCACUGACUCAGAAGUACUACUACUCUUUGUCUGAGUUGAUAAGGGAGUGGAUGAAGAUGAGGAUGAUAAAGGUGGUGAAAAUAUAGACAGUGGUGACAUAGAAUUAGAUGAAAAAACAGGCUUAAAAAUGAACAAAGCGUGCUUUAAACCAGGACUAAAAAGCCAAUCAUGAACAUCCCAAUAUACCUCAACUCUCAUUUUGUUAAGAUGAAUUGACUCAUUGCCUCUAAAUUUCCAUUGCAAAUGCUUCACAUGAAUCGCCAAGUGCCCAUCAAAUCUUAUCUCCAUCUCUGGUUGAACUUGAACUUGUACCCCACUCGUUACAGAAUCUCCAUCUCCAACAUUAUUAUUAUUUACCUUAUUCUUGCACUUUAUAGAAAUCUCAUGACACCUACCUUUCUCAUGAAACUUAGCUUUAGUAGAGAACUUCCUCUUCCCAAAUAUAUGUUCCUUUUUCGAAACAAGAAUCGGAUCAAUAAGUGAUGGUCUACAACCAGUUCUUUUGUAUGCUUCUUUCUUUAGAUCGCCAAGAAGCAACACAACCUCUUGAUCACAAACAACUGCUACAUAGUACUCUGAAGUUGGUUCUGUUUCACCAUUGAAUUUAGCAGCUUUGAGGUCCCAAAAAACAUCGACAGGUUUUCCAUCAACCGCGAACCGCUUUGAACCUUGUUUCCUCCAAAAGUACCAUGGUUUCAGCUCAACUUUGCAGCUAUAUUGAGUUGUUUCCCUUUCUGGUGUUUCCACUGAUACUGAUAGACCAUGAAGCAACAAGUUUUUGCACCAUGCGAUUGUGAUCAAACGGCAGUGAUCAGCUAGUUUUGUUCUGUAUACUGACAUGUAAACACUUCUACCUGAACGUGUCACAGCUCCAUGAUGAUGAUCAUCAUCACUUGCAGAAGAAAAACAUGCAGGAAUACCAAUUGAGUCUUGCAUUGUUCUUGACGAGUUUAAAAAAAAGUGAGAGAAGAUGAAAGUAAUGUGAAGAGAUUGGAGUGAGAAGGAAUUUAAGAUAAGUGAGGAGAUGAGAGAGAUCUCAGUGACAAGCUGUAUGAAAGCUAUGCCAGAUGUGUUAUUGGCAGCAUUAUUAAUGAGAUUUGAAAAAAGAAAUAAAAAAAAAUGUGUAUUUAUAUAUCCAAACUGGCGUAUGGACUGGCAAUGACUGAGAGUUACAGAAGAACAACUUUUUUUUUUAUAAUUUUUUUAUAUUAUAUACACCUGUCUAUAAUCUCUUACCUGUCACCUCUUUUAAUUUAAUGUUUAUUUUAUUUUGGUUUAAUUUAACAUUUAAUUGUGAAGUUGAAACUAGAAAAACUUGUUUUUGAAUGCCAAGGUGGUUUUGAUUUGCUAUUCAAAAGUGCAUACUUCCAGGUAUAGGUAGAUGCAAGAAGGCGAUUUUUCAUCAGAUUUGGUGUAUGGAUGUUUACACACUAAGGAUAGGAGAAUCUUAAUUAUUCAUGACAGUGCAUGAAAGGGGACUAUAAUAUGAUCCAGAAUAACAUGUCAAAACUAAAAGGGAAAAGAAUUUUGAUUAAACCUUUUAUCGUUAAACUAUUAUUCUCACUCCUAUUUAAUUCUGAACCAUAGAAAUGCAAUAUCUUUAAACUAUUUUUAAUUCGGCAAAUUAAUCUUUAAAUUAUUACACCAUCUUUUAUUCGGAAAGUGACUCAUGGAAUUACUUGAUGGAUUGAGAAUAGUUUAAGGUCUAUUUACAAUUUUUUUUUUAUAGUUUAAAGACUAAAUUGAAGAUUUAGUCAAUAAUUUUAUCACUUUUUUAAUGAAAUUUCUCAAUCUCAGCGUUUUAGUGAAUUUUAUGUACGUUGUGUACACAUAUUUAAUUUAUUUUAAUGCAUUGUUUAAUAAACACUCUAUAUCUUUAUCCUAUCACUUCAAAAAAGUUUACUAAAAAAAAGAGUUCUCGUAGAAUUUUUUAUUAUUAGAAAAUAUGAUAAAUUUUAUUAUAAUUAAUUCAUACAAUUACGAGAUUUUGAAUUUGACUUAACAAAAUCGAUAUUUGUCAGUUAAGCUACAAUAUAAGAAAUAAUAUUGUAGAAUUUAUUAAUCUAGUGCAUUUCAACAAUAAUUUAUUUAUUUUUAAUAUUAAAAUGAGUUAGUAAUUAAAGAGAUAGUAAAAAAAGUACACGUGAGAGGCACAAAUGAUAGGAGAGAUAGUGACUAUAAAGACACUCAUUUGUAUAAACAUCCAUUUUUGCUCCACAAUGAGAAUGUCUAUAUAGAUGAUAUAUAUAUAUAUAUAUAUAUUUUUUUUUUUUUGAAGAAGCAUGUAGAUGAUGUUUACAAGGGAAGGACUCCCAUUUUGCUGAUUAAAUUUAUGAGUUUAAUAAUUAUAUAUCGACAAUAAUAAAAAUGUUAUUAACAAUCAAGUUAUAUUGCAUAACAAUGAUAAGUUAUAGUAAUAUCUAUGUGUUUAGAAGCUGCACAUGUUGUAUGGUAUAACUAUUAGGCACAUUAAACAUCCAACUCCUUUUUGCUAUCUUGAUGCCUAUAAACCUACUACAGUUUCUAAGCUUUUAUCCAAUAUAUAAGAUUUUAUUACUUCAAAAUGAGAAAUUAAAGGAAUCUAUCCACAUCGUUACAGUUGCAGAUCUGAUGUAUAUUAGCUUAAAGACAAAGAGUCCUUGUUUUAGAUCAGCAACCCUCAAAUUAAGAAGAAAAUAAAAUUUAUUUGAAUUGGAUCAUUGCCCUUGCUUAUUCAAUAUAACAUCCAAAAAAUCCAGAACACUCCACGUGCAAUUGGAUAAUUUCCAACUGUUACAUACUAAUUAGUAAGUACACGAGAAAAUUAUUGUAUGUUCAUAAAGACUUAGACACGUCAUUUAGACACAUAAAGAAAAAAAUUAAAUAAAAUAUAUUUUAAAAUAAUUAAAUAAUGUGUUUUUUUUUUCUUGUGUUCAAAUUACUUUUGUUUAGAAGUGUCACCAUCUAAAUAUUUUUCCUCACUUACACCCACCAAAUAAGUAAAAAAAAGAAAUUAAACAUAAUAACACUUUAAGUAAGUAAUGAGGUAUGUGUAAUGGGCAUAAUUACAUCAUUUGAUGAUACUGCACUGUGUGUGAAUUUUGUUUCGGUUAAGACAUGAAUCAAUCAUCUUGGUCAUUUUUUUUAAUAGGUCUAUCGUGGAAAUUCACAUAAAAUAAAUGUGAAAAAGAUGGAUAUUUUAGAUUUAACGUGGUAAAAUGAAAGGAUUAGAUGGUUUUAGAUGAUAAUAAACGAAUCAACAUAAUUCAUGAAUCAAUUUAAAUUUCACUAAAUUUUUUUCUUAAAAUGAAAUUCAAUUCAUGCAUUAAUAAUAAUACAAUUCAAUUCAUCCAUUGUCCUAGUUUUAAUGGAUAUAUAUACAUCCGAUCUAUCUAAUUACUUUCUUUUGAGCCUUUCAAUACAUUAAUUACCAUAUUUGUUAUUAUUGUAUUAUUUAUUAUUUUUAAAACUAUAUUUUCCUUUGAUAGAAAAAUUCUGUUAUUUUUCUUAAGAAAUCAGGUUUCAUAUUAUUUUAAAAAUUAUUAACUUCUCUUCUGACAAAAAUUAUUAACUUCCAAAAAUAAUAUUAUUAUUUUCUGAAAACUGUAUUUUUUAUAAAAUAAAAAUAUGGUUUUUUAUUAAUUUAAAAUCUUUUUAUAUUAUUUAAAAAAAAAUGUUUUCCUACUAUUUUGAAAAUAAUUUUAUUUAUUAUUUUAAAAAAAACAUUUUUUACAAUAAAAAACAGAAGUUUUUUUUAAAGUGUUUUAAAUAUCUAUGCUAUUUUUAAAAUAAAUGUAUUCAUUUAAAUAUUUAUUUAUUAUUAAUUAAAUAAUAAGAAGAGUGGUUGGUGGUGGCCGGCAACAGAAGUCUAACCGCCACCGCGACAAAAUCCACGGCCCUAGACAUUCUCCAACCAACCUCCCUAUUGUUUAAUUAAUAGUAAAUAUUAUUUAACAUUUAAAUUUUAAAUUUAAAACAAAUUACUUAUUUUUAAAUCAAAUACAAAAGCUGUUUUUAAAAAUACUAAAAUAGCUCAAGUUUUAUACCAAAAAAAAAAAAAUCAGUAAUAACAAUAAUAGUAAAUCCAGUUUUUUUAAAUUAUAAAUAAAAUUAUUUUAGUAAAUUACUUAAUUUUUAAGAUAAAAAAUCUGUUUCUUUUAAAAAAAUAAAAAUAAAAAGUGUUUUUUUAAUUUAUAAAAAAGUCCAUUUUCUUUUAAAAAAAUAGUUUUUAAUUGAAAAAAUAUUUCUUAAAAAUUAGAAAAAUAUUUUUCCAAAGUAUCUAUUUUAUGAUAAACAAAUAUAAUUCAUUGGAUUUAAUUCAAAAAUAUAUGUAACCAUUGAAUUUGUAAACAUGGUUGGAUUGGAUAUAUCAUUAAAUAGCUGGAUUGAAUCCAAUCCAUUAACUAAUAUUUUAUUUUGUGGAUAAAUUGAAUGGGUGAUAGUUUAAAUGAACAAGUUUGUCACCCUUAAAUUUUAACUCACACUUCAAUACAUUAAAUUAAAUGUUUUUACAAAUACCAUCUUAACUAGUAUAGUUAAACAUGUAUCUUGCACCAGGUAAAAAAUUUAUUAUUUGAAUACAAAUAAUAAUUUUUAAUAAUGUUAUAAUUACAAAUAAAUUAUAAAUAUAGAGAGAAAGAUUUUUUGAAUUUUAAUAAUUUUAAUAGUAAGAGCUUAAUAUUGUAACAUUAAAGAACAUAGUUAAAAUUUAAAGCGAGAUCAUGAUAAAAUAUUCAAUACUAUCACCGUUAAUAAUAAAUUUUUCCCAUUAUUUAAAAAUAAUUUUUAAUAUAAUGAUAUAAUAAAACUAUAUUUAUGUACACACGUAUCAUGAUAAAUAAUAAUUUUUCAAUAAAUCAAAGAAAAUUUGGAUCAUAAAUGAUAAGUAAAAAAAUAUAUAAGAAAAAUUGAAAAACUGUAUUUCGCGUCCGCUGAAAGACGACGCAAAAGGAUUCAAAACCGACGCUAAUGUUGAUUUAGGGUUGAUGUAGAGUCUAGUUACACCGUCGGUCCAACUCACUCUAAACCGACGUCAUUGUAAAAUAGAACGUCCGACGCCACUUUAUCCACGUUAGAUAUGUCAUUUGAAAAAAUCUACUGCGCCAGUGCUUGUCGUUGCUAUAGUCAGUCAAUGCAACAUCUAGCGUCGAUAUAACCGACGCCGCAAACAACUAAUAAAAAUUAACAAAAAAUUAAAGUGAAAUCUAUAUAAGAUAUAACAUCCGUUAGAUCGACGAUAUGGUCUAACAUAUGAAAAAUCAACUAAACUUGUAGCGUUAGUGAUUGCUUAAAUUCUUUCUUCUUUUUUUGCACUUGCACAAUUAUAUUUUUAUGUCUAAUAAAAUAAUGGAUUCUUAAAAAAUAUUAAAAUAGUUAAUGUUUUCACAAAAAGUCACUGCAUUGACAGCAUAACAAGUGCACUACAAAAUAUAAUUUAUUUUGAAACUACAAAAUAAUAACAUAGUAUGAAAUAACAAAAUUACAAAAUACAUAUUUGUCGAUAAAUAAAUACAAAAACUAAACAUAACUAUAAGAUAAAAGUGCAUUCAGUAACUGAUUGUUCAAAUCAUCAUCAUAAUAAGAAUUUAAAGAAGAAUGACUUGUAGUAGAUGAUACAUAUGCUAAUCGAUGCUGCAAAGUGCAUAUCUAUAAUUGUUGGAGGUCUGAAGUAAAUAACAAAUAUUUUGGUGAGGCACUUAAAGCAAGAGCUUUAGUGCCUUUCUCUUGAAUCAACUCUCAUGUUAAGUUGAACAUGGAGUCUUUAAAACAUAAAUAAAAUUUUAUUUGAACUAUCUUUCAAAACUUUAUUGUUUGCCCUACCUUGUCUACUCUCGUGUUGGUGUCUUUGUCUAUUCUUCAUCACAUCCCCAUUAGUUACUUGUCUUUGUGUUCUUUAGUCUAGGGUUUUAAUAUGUCGUAAUAAAUAAAAAUGCAAGGUAGUCUUGUCAAUUCUGCUCGACAAUCACGUUUGUAUUCUUAUCUUAACAUAAUAUUUUAACUUAGUAUAGCAUGUCAUAAUAUGACUCAUUGGAACUAACAAAUAAUAAAUAAGAUUCAAAAAAUGCACAUGUACACCUAACAAAAUUUAUUAAGAUACAUGGCAUUAAAUUGUAUAGCACGUAUCUUAUCAAGGUGAACAAUCAAUUUCAGUUUAAUAUUUAUUAGACCACUUUACAACUUAUUUGAGUUUCGCAAUAAUUAAUGUCAUUAUUUAGCAUGUACCUUGAUCAAAGUGAACAUUCAAUCACUUUCUAUCAUUAAUGGAACAAUGUCUUAUUUAGGAACCAAAUAUAUUAAUGCAUCCAGAACCAAUUACCACUAUAUUGUCGGGUACUCUUCUCAAUACAAAGGUGCAUGCAUAAAUAUUGUUUCGUAUACAGAAAAUGUCGAAUCUCUAUAAAACUCACUUUUUGUUACCUCAUGUGGUAUAAUAUAUUCCUUUUGAAUAAUAAUGUCUACUAUGUAUGUAGCCAUCGAAUCAACCAAUCAUUUUUUGACAAAUAGGAGAAGAUAAGGCUAAAAUGAAAAUUUGCAAGGAAGUGGAAGAAGAUAGGGAGAUGUUGCAAAACAAGUACUUAAAGAUAAGUAUAAUCAGAUGGUAUAGUUGAUUGCAUAUCUUUUGGUGCUUGCAAUCUAAGUAUUAUCUAUGGAUAUUUGUGAAAGUGAUGUAUGGUGUUCGAUUUAUUUUUGGAUGCCUUGGAUAUUGAUUUAUAUUAAAUUUGAAGAAAAAAGUAAUUUUUGUGUAUGGAUAGAUUUAUCUAGAAACAGGUCUUACCAUCUAGUAGUAUACUAGUGUUGGUGCGAUAUGUACACAUAUAUUUUAUUUAUACACAGUUAUAAUUUUAAUGACUUUACAAAUAACUUAGUUAUUUACAAUAUAUAAAUAUGAUAAGAAUAAAAAAUUAAUAAUUUAAAUUUGAAUUUAAUUGAUAUAUUGUCGAUGUAAAAAAGUUAUACAUAUAGAUCUUAAUACUUUCAUUUUUAAAAUAAAUUUCCAAUUAUUUAUGUGGUUGAGUGUGAUUAAAAAAAUUUAAUUUAUUAUAAAUUGAUAUAAAAGUUGGUAGAAAUACUAUAUACACAUGCAAUAUGUUAUAAAAAAUUAAUAAAUUACUCUUAUAUUUAUGUUGUAAUUGUUUUUUUUUUUAAGGAAGUGUUGCAUGUAAUGUUGUCACCAUCAAAUUUAUAUACUCUUAUAUUUUUUAAGGAGGCAUUUUAACUUUAAAAUAACUUUUUUACAAAACGAUAAAAAUGAAUAGGAUAGAUAGUUAUAAUACAUUCAUAUAUAAUCAAUGAUAUACACAGUAUCUUUACCUAAAAAAAAUUUAUUAAUAAAUCUUAAGUUUUUUUGGAAGAAUUAUAUUCAAAAUCAUAAUUUUGAAAAUGGUUACCUUGAAAAUUCAAAUAAAAUGCAACAUUUUAUCGUUUUAAUCAAUGCUAUUCAUUCAGUUGUACCCGAUAUCAAGGAUUUGAAAUUUUGAAGAGGUUAUUUCACAUUCAGUAAAUGGAAAGAAAAAAAAAGGCCAUUGGCUUUGGAGAUAUCAUUGGACUUGUGAUAGAUAAAGUUUUAGUUGACGUUGUGCUUAGACAACACAAAGAUUUGAGAAUACAAUAUGUACUUUGUAAAGUUGGCUAUUUUUCUUUAGAUAUUUCAGAUAGCAAGAAGAAUAUACUCGAAAUUGUGAAGAACAACAAAUAAAUCAAUAUCAAAUACAAGCAUGAAGACACACGAAAAUAUACCCAAAACAAAACAUAUUUGUUAGGAUAGGACUUUUUCAUAAUUUGACAUUGAAGGAAGAUAUACACAAAAGAAGAAAACAUUGAAGUGUCACCUAUUAAGUCACGAACACUCAUGUGAUUGCCACAUUCAAUCAAUAUUUACUACAAUCGAUUCAACAAAUUCAAAAAGUGUCAACCAGAGGCAACAAUAAUUGUUAGAAACCAACUCAUGUUUCGAUCAAUUGGCAAUGCAUAUACGAAAGAAGAAACAGGAAAAAAGAUAAAUAUAUAAACAAUAUAAUAUACUUUUAGUGUAUAUAAGAAAGAAGAAACAAGAAAAAAAGAUAAAUAUAUAAACAAUAUAAUAUAUUUUUAGUGUUCUUUCCAUGAGGGUUGGUCAUUAAGAUAUAUCUGUUGACACAAAAUUUCUCUCAAAUAUUUUAAUAACAACAAAAUUGUUUCAAAGAUUCUGAUUAUAUGUAUUAUCUAACUUGUAUUCUUGAUUUUAACAAAUUUAGAAAAUAGGUUAUUCACAUUCUUUAUCAAAUAAAAUAUUUAACACAUAUUAAUGUGUCUUCUACGUUAGAAGAUAAGCAAAAAAAAUAAUGAAAUUAUGUCCUCUAUAUCACAGGAUAAAAUAAAACUGAAGAGAUGAUGAAUUUAUGUUCUUUAUGUAAGAGGAUAAACAACGCAGAAUAGAUGAUGAACUUUUGUUGUCUAUUCAUCUCACACGUGGGAAAAUGAGUAAAAGAAUCAAAGUACAAAAAGUGAUAUCCUUAACUCCUAAGGCAAGAUACUACAACUGUUGGAAAAUAAAAAAGUCAAAAAGCACAAGUCACAUUAGAAUUAAUGAAAGCUUAAUCCUCCUACCUGAUGAUGGACUAAACACUCAUCCUCCUACCAUUUCUUCUAACAAGUACAACUGAAGGGCAUAUUUGCAAUUCCAAAUAAAGACCAUGGACAAUCAUCUAAGUCUCCAACUGAUACUUUGUGCUUCUCGUCAUAUUUGAAGCACCAUUAUUUCUAUAAAUUGAGAUGAUCUCAUCCUCUUAAAACACAACAAAUAUCAUAAAAUCCAAAGAUUAAAGUUGUGUAAAUCAAUCUCAUCAUCAACAUACUUUCUACUAAUCUUAAUUAUAUCUUUGAUAUUAACUUGCUGCAAUCUCAAACAUCAUGUAUAUCCUUAAGUUAAUAUUAACUGACUGAUAGUUGUGUAAGUGUUAUAAAACAAGAAGAGAAAUUGUAUAUGUAAGUCUGAUGAGAUUAAGAAAAUACAUAGUGAAAAUCCUUUCAAGAGGACAUGUUUUUUUGAGCCAUAGUGAAAAGCUCACAAGUAAGUGAGGACUGAACGUAAUCCAUUUUGGGUGAAGCAAUAUAAAUUUGUGUUUAUCAUUCUCUGUACUCUUUUAUCUUUAUUUUAUCUAACUUUGAUUUCAGUUCUAAGCUUUCAUCCUCUAUCACUCAUUUAUUAUCCUCACAUAGAGGAUACUUUUUUAAAAUAAAAAGAAAAUUAAGAAAAAUACAAUAUCUCUAUUCAACAUCCUUCUAGUGAUAUUUUAGCUACUUCACUCUCAAUGCAACAAUCGUACUCCCACAAUAGAAUUACAAACUUAUAUAAAAGCAUAAAUCAAGUCACCAAAUAAAAAACGUAAUUAAAAAAAGAAGAUAAGAAACCAACCAAAUUAGGAUCGAUAACAAAAGAAAAAUGAGAUAAAGCAUAAAUAAAAAUCCCUUCAUAAAAUACAUAAAUUAAAACAUUAAACAAAAGGUCACACUAAUGACACAUGUUAAUGAUACCUAAAGUAAAAAAAUUUCAUAAAAAAUUAAUGUUUAGACUUUCAAAAACUAAAAUGCACAAACUCUAAGAUAAAAUUUCUACAUUUAAUUUAUUAAAAAAAGAAAAAUAGAUGAAAAGUUAUAAAAAAUAAUAAAUUAUCCGAAAUAGAUGAAAAUGUCUGAAUUUCUACUAUCUUUUAUGCACAAUAGAUGAAAAGUUACCGGAAAUCUAUACAUUAUAAUAAAACAAACAUGAUAAAUUGGCAAGUUUGACACGUGUCAACAAACUAUAGUGUUAAGAAAAUAUCAAGUUUCUAUUAAUAGAAAUAAUACGUGCUUAUGCUUGAGAAGUUAAUGGCCAAUUAAAAAAUAAAAUGAAUAAAUUAAAAAUAAAAAGUUUUUUUUGUAAGAAAAGCAUAAAACUUCGGUUACAUCACGAUCUUUGUCCACGAUACAUCCGUUGAGAAUUUAAUGGUCAAUUAAAAAAUUAAAAAUAAAAUACAAUAUACCACGACUUGACAGUUUUUUCUAUGCGUCCGUUGAGAAGUUAAUGGCCAAUUAAAAAAUAAGAAAAAUAAAUUAAAAAUAAAAGAUUUUUUUUAAGAAAAAAAUAAAACUUCCAUUACAUGAGAAAUGAAUGACCAAUUAAAAAAUAAGAAAAUAAAUUAAAAAUCUAUACAAUUUAAUAAAGCAAAAUGAUAAUAUAUUUUUUAUAAUAAAAUUAAAUUUAUGUUACACGACUUUGUAUGUCAGUUGAAAAGUUAGUGGCCAAAAAAAUAAAAGAAUGAACUAAAAAUAAAAUACACUACACCACUACUUACGUUUCACCGUUGAGAAUUUAGUGGUCAGUUAAAAAAGAAAAAGAAUAACAGCAAAAUACGUUCAAUUACACCCACCACGACGAGACACUUUUUGAAAUUAUUUUUUAAACACUAUUUAACAACCACAGCUUCAAAUUAAUUUAUUUUAUUUUAUGAAUUCUUUUAAUUCCCUCAUACUUUCUUUCUUAAUUCCCGUGCUUCGUAAACGAUAUCUUUUCAAUUCUCUCAUUUUUUGUGUCUCCAUUAUAAAUAUCAUUCAUAUUAUCUCGGUAUAUACAAUUCAUUUUUUAAAUUUUUUUUACCAAAACUUUGUUAUUCAUCUUUAUCCAAUGUCAGUCUGAAACAAAAAUCAUAAAAUCAGUUGCUUCAAUUUCUUCAUCAAAGUUUGUUGCUUCAAUUUCUCCAAAAAAUGAGUCAUGNNNNNNNNNNNNNNNNNNNNNNNNNNNNNNNNNNNNNNNNNNNNNNNNNNNNNNNNNNNNNNNNNNNNNNNNNNNNNNNNNNNNNNNNNNNNNNNNNNNNNNNNNNNNNNNNNNNNNNNNNNNNNNNNNNNNNNNNNNNNNNNNNNNNNNNNNNNNNNNNNNNNNNNNNNNNNNNNNNNNNNNNNNNNNNNNNNNNNNNNNNNNNNNNNNNNNNNNNNNNNNNNNNNNNNNNNNNNNNNNNNNNNNNNNNNNNNNNNNNNNNNNNNNNNNNNNNNNNNNNNNNNNNNNNNNNNNNNNNNNNNNNNNNNNNNNNNNNNNNNNNNNNNNNNNNNNNNNNNNNNNNNNNNNNNNNNNNNNNNNNNNNNNNNNNNNNNNNNNNNNNNNNNNNNNNNNNNNNNNNNNNNNNNNNNNNNNNNNNNNNNNNNNNNNNNNNNNNNNNNNNNNNNNNNNNNNNNNNNNNNNNNNNNNNNNNNNNNNNNNNNNNNNNNNNNNNNNNNNNNNNNNNNNNNNNNNNNNNNNNNNNNNNNNNNNNNNNNNNNNNNNNNNNNNNNNNNNNNNNNNNNNNNNNNNNNNNNNNNNNNNNNNNNNNNNNNNNNNNNNNNNNNNNNNNNNNNNNNNNNNNNNNNNNNNNNNNNNNNNNNNNNNNNNNNNNNNNNNNNNNNNNNNNNNNNNNNNNNNNNNNNNNNNNNNNNNNNNNNNNNNNNNNNNNNNNNNNNNNNNNNNNNNNNNNNNNNNNNNNNNNNNNNNNNNNNNNNNNNNNNNNNNNNNNNNNNNNNNNNNNNNNNNNNNNNNNNNNNNNNNNNNNNNNNNNNNNNNNNNNNNNNNNNNNNNNNNNNNNNNNNNNNNNNNNNNNNNNNNNNNNNNNNNNNNNNNNNNNNNNNNNNUUAAUUUUGUCUCAAAAAAUUGUAAAUUUGUAUAUGUAUAUUUCUAUCCUCUUAUAUAACAUUUGUAUAAUUAAAUAAAAAAUAAUAAUUUAUUUAAGUAAAUAUAAAUUUUAUUUAGGCUUCUUAACGUGAAUUCAAUUAAAUUUCCAGAAUAUUGAAGAGAAAAAUAAUAAUUUAUUUAAAAAAAUAUAAAAUUUAUGUAUGAAUUAAAAAAACAAUUCAUUUCAUCGAUUCAUUGAAAAUAGUGGUUUUUCAAACUUCAAACACUAUUUUAUCAAAUUUAAAAACUACUAUACUAUACAUUUUAUAUUCAAAGGAUUCAUGAAAGAUUAAUGAAGACUAAUUUUUAUGUGUAUUGUAAUUUUUUGUUUGUAAUAGGAAAAUUAUUUUUCUUUAGUAUUUUGUGAGUAGUACUAAAAUGAAAUAUAUUUUGCCACUUGAUACAGCAAAAUUUAUAUUAAUUCUUAAAUGUCAUGUAUUUCAUAUAAAUAACAUAGGUUGAAUAAUAAAAAUAAAAAUUCAUUAUUAAGUUACUUACUCAUCUUUACAUUUACUAAUUUACUUAUUUUAUAUAUGUCCAUGUCCAUUAUUUUAAAAAAAUUUAUUUCAUCUAAUCUAAUUAUUUAAUUUAAUUUUUUUUAAUAAUUAUUGUUUUUAUUUGUUUAAAAUUAAAAGUAUAUAAUAAGUUUUUUGGAAAGAAAAAAGAUUACGUGUAGAAUUCAAAAAUAAGACAUCAUCAUUUGAGUAAGAUUAAAGAGUAGUGUUAGAGUCAUACUUUUUAUCAAUAACAUUGAGCCUAUAAGAAAGUAGUUUUAAAGUUAAGUUAAAAUUAGAUUUUUUUUAAUUUUUUUUAAAUCAAUUUAUUUUUUUUUAAUGUCAAUAAAAUUUAUGAAAUUUGAUAUAUAUAUAUAUAUAUAUAUAUAUAUAUAUAUAUAUAUAUAUAUAUAAUAUAACCAUUUAUUUAUUAAAAUCGUUGUUUCCGUGCGAACGCACGGAUUACAAACUAAUAAUAAGAUAAUUAAGUGCAUUGAUAAGAUGAAGAGUUUACAUUAAUAAAGCAUGUGAAAAAAGGUCUCAAAUGUGGAAGAAAAAGAAAUCAAAAUUGGUAGCAAAUUAUGAAAACCAACAUCAUUUAGUUAAUUGAAUUAAAUAGAGAAUUGGAAAGAAUAAUCUAGAUGGGAAAAUUUAAAGCAACUCUAGAAACCAAUUUUAUUAACAAUAAUGAUGCUAAAUAAAGAAAGAUAGAUGGAAAGAUUUAAAUGCAUCCUCGAUUUUCUUUUUCUUAAAAUAAUGCAUCAUUGUUUUUUUUUCUUCUCACCAAGCAUCAUCGACUUUUUUGAUAAGCUGAAAAAGUUGUUUGUAAUAAACACCCAUGUUUUUUUUUUAAAAUAUUAUUACUUCAAAUUGUUAUUUUUUAGAUUUUUUAAUUAUUGACAUUGGGGCAUGUUUCAAAUAUAUGUACUUUAAUGUAGUGACUUUUUAAAUUUUAAAUUAACUUUUUAGAAAGAUGUAAUAAUACUUGGAUCUCCCAUUAAAAAUUAAAUAACUAAAUUCAAAUAAUUUAAAUUUUUUAAAAACAAUUGAUAUAUUUAAAUAAUUUAACCUUCAAUCCAAAUAUAAACUUAAUCUUCUAACAUUUUUUUUUCUUUCAAAAUCUAAUUGCAAACCCAACUUAAAAUCAAUGAUUUCCAAAAUUCUAUGAUAUGCAUGCACAAUCAACACAGUGAUAUCACCGUACUAACUCUAAGGAAACGCAACCUACCAUGUUAUAGCCAUGCUACUUAACUUGUCAAGAACAGAAACCUUGGGGAUUGGGUAUUGAAUGCCACAUGAGGUGGGGCUCUUGUAUCUCUUUCAGCCUCAAUCGAUUAUGUUUCUGCUACACUUUCUCCUCCUAUUAAUUAAUUAGUUUUUAGGAUUUUAAUUGAAUCAUUAGAUGGAUUAGUGAAAGUGAUUUUUAAUUUUAUUUGUUAAACAAUGUCCAGUCAACUAUACUAGUACAAUCUUCAAAAAUUGACUAUGCCGGUGGAUCUUUUAAAUUUUGAACUAAAUAUUGUGUUCGUGGAUGAAAAAGACCUCUUGAAUCAAUCUAUUAACAUUAUUAUGAGAUAAAAUGUGCACUUUUAGUAAAGCUAUUUUAUAUUGAGUAUUAAUCAUAAUGUGUCAAUUUAUAAAAUACAUGUUCAAUAUUUUUAUCAAUUUUUUAUUUAUGUCAACCACAUUAUAAAAUAACUUUUAUUAGAUACAUAUUACUUAUACUCUAUUAUUAUACUGCUCCUAUACUCCACCCACUAAUAAUUAUUAUACUAACACAAUUUUUCAACAUUUAAUAAUUAAUACUAUCUGAUCUUGAAUAUAAAAAAAAUUGUAUUAAUUAAAAACUACAUUAAAUAGUAGUUAAUUCGGCCAUUAAAGUUUAAAAAAUUAAUGUCAAAACAAUUAAAAGAUUAUUAUAUAAUUUUUAAAGGUUGAAUUGAAAGAGCGAAGCGGUUAUCUAAAUGAUUGAUAUUUAGAGACGGAGAGAAUUAGCAUAAAAAAAUGAAAUUGAGCGAGGAAUGUGAAACUUAUAAGAGAAGUAAAGUCGAAAGGCACAAAAUGAAGCAUGAUAGAAAAUUAAGGUGAAAGUGAAAUUAAACCUAAACCGAAGUAGCCUAUAGUAAUUAAAAAAGAAUAGUAAUAAUAAGAAAGCGACGAGAAAGGCAAUCGUUAUUUGGGGCACUGCAACAGAACCUUUCCUUUCCUCUUUGCAUGCUGCUCUCUCUGCUCUUCCAUACUCUCAUUACCAAUACUCUUAUUAUAUAAUAAAUUCAUUCUCUUCUAUUUAUUUCUUAAAUUCCAAUUUCACUAAUCACUUCCUACCUAGGGUUCCCAACAAUGCUGCCGGAUUCCUCUGAACAAGAAGACGAUUCUGAAAUCGACUUCGUCGAAAUUGAUCCUACUGGUCGAUACGGUCGGGUGCGUUCCAAUUCUCAAAUCUAACGCUCAAUGCCGUAAUUAUUCAUUGUUUCGCUUGAUCUGAUCUAAAACUAACAAUGCCUUGUUUCUUUCUGAUUCGCUUUGAUGGAUUCAACAGUACAGGGAAGUUUUAGGAAAGGGGGCUUUCAAAAAAGUGUAUCCUUUUAUUUUGUUUCUAUAUUUUUACGAUCAAUUGAUAAAUUUCAAUAUUUAUUGAAUGGAUGUAAUCGUGUACCAAUGAGAUGAUUUGUUAGGAAUGAAAAUUUCCUUGACAGUAAUUUGGAAAUGUAGAUAUCGUGCUUUUGAUGAAUUGGAAGGAAUUGAAGUGGCUUGGAAUCAGGUUAAGGUGUCUGAUCUAGUGCGUAAUUCUGUAGAUUUGGACCGCCUUUAUUCUGAAGUUCAUUUGCUCAAGACUUUGAAGCAUAAAAAUAUUAUUAAAUUUUACAAUUCAUGGGUUGACGCCAAGAAUGAGAACAUUAAUUUCAUUACUGAAAUUUUCACCUCCGGAACAUUGCGCCAGUGAGUGUCCUUUGGUUCUUUGUCCCCUUUAUGUAUUUGUUUCGUUUUGUCAUUUUCAGUCCCCCUUUUAUAUUUUGGCGAGCUCUUUUGUUUUAAGUUUAGCUUUCUUAUUUUAGAUACCGGAAGAAACAUAAGCAUGUUGAUUUGAGAGCUUUGAAGAAAUGGUCUAGGCAGAUUUUGGAGGGCCUUUCGUAUCUUCAUAGUCAUAAACCACCAGUUAUUCAUCGAGACCUUAAGUGUGACAACCUUUUUGUCAAUGGGAAUCAGGGGGAGGUGAAAAUCGGUGAUUUAGGAUUGGCAGCCAUCCUUCAACAGGCCAGUUCAGCUCACAGUGUUAUCGGUAACAUUUUCCUGGGAAAUCAUUACAUGUAUUGCCCUUUUCUUAUGUGUACUACUGUGGAAGUAUUGUUACUUAAAGUAUUUGUAAUUCUCUUAUGAGCCCCAGGUACCCCGGAAUUCAUGGCCCCAGAACUUUAUGAAGAGGAGUACAAUGAGCUUGUCGACAUAUAUGCUUUUGGCAUGUGCUUACUAGAGUUGGUAACUGUUGAGUACCCGUAUAUUGAAUGUGCCAAUGCUGCUCAAAUAUACAAGAAAGUGACAUCUGUAAGUGCAUUGUUAUCAAAAUGUUGGGACAAUUUUAGGGACUGUUUUUUUUUUUUGAAAUUUUUUUAGGGAUUGUUUAAAAAACUUUUGAAGUGAACAAUUGUCUACAUUUAUAGAAAUAAUGAAAAUGUCAAAAAACCAUUUUCAUUAUUUCUGGAAAUGAUCUUAAUCAACUACCAUUUCAUAUUUUCUCCACGACAAUAGUUCACCGCAAGAGUUUUUCAUGAAGACAAAAUGAACACACAUUUUAGAAAAUGAUAACACAAAAUGUUUUUAUAAAAUAAGCGCGACCUUACUUGUUGUGUAAUGCAACACUGGUAUUAGAAUUUUUAACUCCAAUCACAGUGGUGGUAGGUAUAUUAUUCAAUGCACUCUGAAAACUCCGUAAAUUUUCGGAGACUGAGAUUUUCUGGAACCUUUAAAUAGUACAUCAAUUUGAUAAAACCAUUUCUGCUUGUGCGUGUCUAAGAUGUAAUGUCCUGACAUUUACUUCAUUUGAAAUUUGAAUCUUUUUGAACUACUCAAUGAUACUUUCAAGGUUAUAGUUUGCAUUUAUCUUUAUUGAUUGUUUCACGAAUCAACUAGUCAAACCCCGUGUUCAAUUCAAUAAAAGUAUUGGAUACUUCACGAUCCUGAGCAGAUGUUGAAUAUUAUAGAAAUUUCAUAUAAUUGGAGUGUUCUAUAAAGAAAAACUGGUGAAUUUGCAGUGACCAAACUCAAAAUAACAAAAUAAGAAUCCUAGAAUAUCUGAACUGGUAUUUUUUUUCUUCUUCUUUUCUACUUGCUGCAUCUGAACUCUAGUUAGCUUCUAUGGCAUGAUGGUUAACCUAUCUUCUUUAUAAGAAUCAUUUGAAGUCUUACCUUUCCUUAUGUAUGAAAUUGCUAGGGAUAUGAUUAGAGUUUUUUAGUAGAAUCCUGAAAAGGCUAGGUUAAACUCAACAUUGAAAAAUAUGUUUUUACUUUAUUGUUUUACUGAUAGGCUGUGCUGCGAAUCAAAUAACUGUUUACAAAUCCUUGUUCAAGUGAUAUUUCCUGCUUUUUUGGGUCUGUUUUAGUUUUUCAAUAAUUUUCAUUUUUAUUGUUUUGUUUUGCCAUUUUUUAUCGUUGUUGUUUCUUUUUAUUCUAGGGAAUAAAACCAGCAUCAUUGGCAAAAGUGACAGAUCCCGAAGUUAAAGCCUUCAUAGAAAAGUGUAUUUCUCGUGCAUCAGAUCGGUUGCCUGCAAAGGCUCUCUUGAUGGAUCCCUUCCUUCAGUCAGAUUAUGAUGGUGAUAGUGUAGGUCGAUCAUCGAGAUCUGGAGCCCACCAUUCAGGUACAUAUACUGUACAUAUAAAGUUCCAGAUGAACAAUUUGCUUUUGUUUACCAUCCAAUGCAUCAAAUGCAGGAAAUAACUUUAAUCAUCAAUCCAUCGGAGAAAGUGCCAAGGAAAACUCUGUUGAGACUAGUUGGGAAUUUACAGUGGAAGGCCAAAGGAGAGAUGUUAAUACAAUAUUUUUAAAACUGCGAAUUGCAGAUUCCUCAGGUAUUCUCUUACUUUGUUUAGUUUUUUUCAAAGCAAGGGAAUAUGUAUUUGCUUUUUCAUGGUUCUGAUAUUCAUUUGUUUGUAGGCCAUAUUCGAAAUAUUCACUUCCCUUUCAAUAUUGGAGCAGACACUUCAAUCUCCGUUGCCAGUGAAAUGGUUGAGGAGUUGGAGCUUACCGAUCAAGAUGUUUCGACCAUUGCUAAGACAAUUGACUCAGAAAUUCAAUACCACAUUCCUAGUUGGAAUCCCAGUGAAACUCCCGACAAUAAUUCUUUUGAAUUUUCUGGCCAGACCCCUGAAACUAAGACUGAGGCUUCUCCUAUUGGAAAUGAUUCUCCUAGCAGCCUUGCUUUGGAAAUAUUACCUUCUGGUCGUAAGUACUGGUCAGACUCACCAAAGGGUGUUGGUGGAAACUCUCCAGCUCCGCGCUGUGCUUCGAACUUGUCUUAUGAAGUGGAUGUGAAUGCUGAUGAAGGCAUCUUGUUUGCAAAUAGUGCGGAGAAGGAAUGUGACAGGACUGCUGAUUCCCCGUUUGAUGAAAGAAGUAUUAUAUCGGACUAUUCUGAAGCAACUGGUGGAAAGUCCUCUCUAGAAGAAAUAUCUGUACGUUACGAUUCUGAAAUAGAGGAUAUCAAUACAAUAGCAACAAAGUUGGAGACUUUGUUGGUUAUGCAAAGAGAGGAGUUAGAUGAACUGAAGAGGAAGCACAAAUUAGCUGUCUCAGAUUUUUUGAGUGAGUUUUCUCCAGAAAUUUGCCAACAGAUCCUAAGUAUAUGCAACCCGGAAAUGCCUGACAGUGAAAUGUAGGGUAAGCUUUCCCUAUAUCUAGAUGCCCAUUUUGUGGGGUUUGUGGAGGAGUGAAAUUCUGAAGUUGAAAUCUUUUUUGCAUGUCACAUGGAAUGAAUUGCGUUUGUAGUGUUAAUAGUGUCCGUGAUUGCUUAAGAGAGGGAUUUGUUUUAAUGGAAAUGUUCUUCUAAUGAUGUUGGGAGGACAUGCAGCUGACUCAUAACUUUGGAUAAUCUUUGCAGGAAUUAAUGUCUUCUUCAGCUUGGAAACUCAAUGUUAUUGCUGUAUUUAUGCUUGAAGCACUCUGGGGGUGAAAUGAUAAGGUCAUCGUAAGACUAGUUCAUAUCAACUUCAUUUCCCAAGAACAUCUGUUGUAUAUAGUUUGGUAGAAGUCAUUAAUUAAGCUAUAGAAAGUGUAUACUCGUAGAUAUUACUUGCUCUCCUUUAAGAUCUUCCCAACUAGGAGUUCACCCUUGAUAGGAGUUAAGGGCAACGAGAUCAACUAUUCGUGGAUUAUUUUUCAUUAUUUAUGUCCAAGUAUUCUCAGAAUUUGGCACCAUCGACUUAAUUAGAUGGAAGUUUGUAAACUUGAUUUUAAGUUAUUUUAAUUUUAUCAAUUAAUCUUAUUUUGAGUUUGAAUGAAAUAUUUGAAAUUUGCAAGUGAAAAUCAAGUUUAUAACAAAACUUGGCAGACCAUUUUAGAAAAAAAUGCGUACGUACAGUCCAUGUUAUCAACAAAUCAAAAUUAUCGAUUUAUGUAUAUUUUUUAAGGUAUCAACUAAAAAAGGUUUGAGUCUUUUAUUUUUUAUAACCAUAUUAUUAUAGGAAUUAAGUGUCUAGUAUCUACCACUGCUCAGCUAAUCUGAAACUUGUUGUGGAUACACAAGGUUGGAUUUUUCCUUUAACCAGUUUAUUUUUAUUUAAUAAUAAAUCAAUGGGUUAUAUAUAUAGAACACAUGAUUUUAGAAUAAAAAUAUAAAUUAUAGGCUUAGACUAAAUUAAAGGAUCAAGAUUUGUUUAUUGUUAUUAUUUGAAGUUAUAAAAUAAUUUUUGAUGAAAAAAAAAGAAACUUAAAGAUGGGCGCGUGUGGCCAUUUAAAUGGACUUGGAAGGAGGUGAGCUCAAUUUCUCAACCGAAAAAUGUUGGUGUCGUUUAAACAUAGUGCAAGUGAGUGCAAUUACUCUACCAAAGUUGUGACUUGUGAAUGUUUGUUAAAAAAGAAGGGAAUAUGUACGAUGUAAACAUACCAGAAAUGAGUGCAAUUUACCAUAUCUAUUUUGAUUAUUUCACCACGAUGUGAAAUGGAGGGAGACACUGUUGAAUUGAAGCAAGGGUUGAUAGUGAAGCUUCUUUUCCAUCACCAUAGUAUCAAUAUGGUUUUGGUUGUUGAAACUUACUGGAAAUGUAUGUUUUUUUUUUUGACAAAAAAUUGGAAGUGUAUCCAAUCAUAUUUGGUUGGAACUAUGGUGUAUAGUAUUGUAUUUGUAGAUGUAGACAAGUCAGUUACUGGACAUAAGUAGUUUUUAAAACAUCGAUUAUUUUUUGAUAUCAAGAAUGUAGUAGUAGAGUUACAUUAUUUGAUGUUAACUUACUAGUUUAUUUAUUUUGAGAUUAAAUUUCGGUUAUAUUUGGAACAAGACUUUAGUCUCUUGUGGUGGAUCUGCCUUCCAACAAGUCUCCUUAACGUGGAUACGUUAAUUGAAUCCAUGUCACAAUCAAGUCUUCGUGGAGCUUCUCUAAUCUUAAGAGCUUAUUUAAGGGAACACCCCAAAUAAUCAUAGCACCAAGGAUAAUAUAUCCAUAUGUGGUUAUAGAUCUGUGUACUUGUAAAAUAAAAACUUGUAAAAAGAUUACUUCCAUGUGUACUUACGUAGAAAUACCCGUGGCAAACGGUUUCAUACUUCGUGUAACACAAAUUUUAGAAAAUAAAAAUAAAAAGUAUUUUCAUAUUUUCACAAACUAUAUGAAUUUAACAGAUUAAUAACAACAUAAUAAUUAAUUAAAUCACAAAAUUAGGGUUGUAUGUUUAUAUUAUAUAUAGAAAAAAAACUCAAAUAAAUAAAAAGAAUAAAUGUUUUAACAAUAAAGUCUAAAAAUAAAUAAAUACAAUAAAACUAAAAGGAUAGAAAGUAGUUAAAAAAAAAAGGCAUUACUAGGUUUGCAUCGAGUAUGAUUAACCUUUAAUUCAAUGAUAUAAAUUGUAAAUGAGAAAUAUAAUGUAGAGUGGAUUGAUUAUAGUGAGGAGCGCGUCCCUCCAAAGGAGAGGAUAGAAUUUGAUAAGAAGUGGUUCUCAUUUCUUUCAUCCACACACACUCACUCAAAUUGAGAAUUCAGAUAACAAACAAAAUCCUCUUCUCUUCACUCCAAAUUCUCUCGUUGAGAACCAUGGCAAUAGCAACGGCUUCUUCUUCUUCUUGUUCCUCCAAACUCAAACUCUCACAACACCCACCACUCUCCCACACUUUCAUCGCAUCCGCUUCAAUUUCAAACUCCAAUACUUUCCGUUCCACCACACACCCCAAACUAACCCUAACUCGUCUAUCCUCUUCAUUUCUAAACCCUUCCACAAUCCUCCAUCUCACUCCCUCCUCUCAACAACAACGCACCAACCGUCCUUCCUUCACCGUCCGUGCCGCACGUGGCAAAUUCGAACGCAAAAAACCUCAUCUCAACAUAGGCACAAUUGGCCACGUCGACCAUGGAAAAACCACUCUCACUGCUGCUCUCACUAUGGCUCUAGCUUCCCUCGGUAACAGCGCCCCUAAAAAAUACGAUGAAAUUGACGCUGCACCGGAAGAGC
rnacentral:lncRNA from 1 species